AGUUGCAACUACUCUCCUCCAAAAUCACACUUCUCUAGAGAGUUUAGUCGGAGUUUCUGUUAUAUUUCUUUCCGCUUUUUUCUUUAGAGAUCGGAUAACACAAUUGCAGAAAUGUAUCAUGAUGAAAUCGGUCAGGAUGAUUUGUCUAGAAAAAAAUCCAAACAGUAUCAUCGAAAUGAUGAUGAAUCGAAGGAAGGCAAACUUCUUCGAGGGAUAUUGAACAAUUUAGAAUUUAAACUCAAUUUACUUAAAUCCAGAUGUACAACAAAGUUUGAUCCAACCGUUUUUGGUGUUGCUGAAAGUAUGAAGAAGAACCUGGGCGAGAUUCUGAAAAUGAAGGAUACACAUGAGCGAUAUGAAGAUAAAAUAUUUUCAGAGGAGAAUAGGGAGACAAUGACUGAUGCUGAAAUUCAGAAAGAUGAUGUGCGGAAAAUUGAUGUUAUUCAAAGAGUAUAAACUGCAGUUGAACAGUGCUGAAGAGUUGAAUAAAGGCAAAGUGGAAGUUGAUGUUGUUGCUGAUCAGAAGGGGGCAGAGGAGAGAAGAACUACACUGAUUAGUACAUGGAUUUAAUUAUUCAAAUCAUUAUUUCAUUUAGUUGGACCUGCAUAUUUCAGAUUUAAUUAUUAUCAUUUUUUCUAGCAAAAUGAUUGUAUCGAUCAUAUUACCUGAUUUGACGAGACAAUCCAUUUUAAUCUAGAGUGCUUAUUUAUCCAAAAUUGCAUUUGAAGCAUCACUUACAGCUAAUCAAAUUAACCAAAUAUAUAGAUGCAGAAGAGGGUAAGAAAUGAGAGUAAUCUGAACUACAUGUGAGCAGGUUUACCGUGACAGAAAGCUUAUUCAUGGUGAACCAACCUUAUAGCAAGAAGCAUUCUCUAGUUCACUUUCUGCGCUCAAGAUUCAGCAGCAAACUAUCCGAGGGAAAUGACUGUCAACUUGUUGUCUGUUUGAUCAAUUAAGCACUUUCCUUAGAUCAUUGAUCCAAUUUCUGCUAAGUGCUUAAUCAUACAUCCGAUUUCAGUCAUUGAGUCGAGCUCUGAAAUCUUUUCAUUUUUCACUAAUGUGUAGUUUUUAUCUUUCUUAUCUUCCGUUAUAAGAGCUGACAUCCAUUUGUGGAAAUAAAUUCAUAAAGCUUAUUACUGAAGUUGAGUUAUACUCUUCUCUAACUCCAAACAGUUGCUUUCAUUGACAACAUAAGCGUGUUUCACCUCUUUUUUGACUUGCAGAACAAACCUGAUUUUUCUGUCCAAGUCCAAGGACCAUGUUUGUAAUGGACAGUAAGUUUCGGAAGUUAAGAGUCAGAUGCACAAUUUGAAAAAUGAUCCUACAGAUGUAUCAAUUAGUUUUUGUCCUGAAUCAACUCGCGACGCAUCAACCCCAACUCUUGCGUUUUUUGUUGCAUUAGAUAUCAAAUUCAGCCUAAAUUUUCUUGAUUGCACCUUAUUAAUAGCAGCAUGUUGGUUAUUGCUAUCACCUGUAGCAUCUACAUUUUUUUGUUGUAAUAUCUCUACAGAUUAAGGACUUCGAGCUAAUUCUGGAUCAUUUGAAAUCUCUAAAAUACCUUUGUUUUCAAUAGUUGUUUGAUGACCAAUAUUACCUGUAUCAACAUCCAUUGAGUCUGUACGACUUUGCUCAGAAAUGUCAGCAGCCAAUUGUCAAUCUAAAAUAGUAGUUUUACUUUGAUCGACAUCUACAAUUAUAGUCGUCGCAUUGAUCGAUGAUUAUAAUCGAAAUGACGAAGAAUCGAAGGAAUUCAAGCUUCUUCAAGGCAUAUUGAACAAUUUGGAUGGCAACCUCAAUUCUCUUAAAGGAAAAUGUACAAAAAAGCCUGAUGUUGCUGCUGACCGCAAAGGGGGCAGAGGAGAGAACUACACUGAUUAGUACAUGGGGAGCAACUUUGGGGAGGAGAGAAAGAAGUGAGGCUUAGAAGGAUCUUGAUUCACAUCCCAUUUACAAAUUGUCUGUAAUAAAAAUAAAGUAGAGAAUAUUAGCUGAUGUUGAGGUUACAAACUAUUCCUUUUGGCGUUAAAUUUGUUCUUGCGGUCUAGUGAAAAAAAGGUGCAAAAAGUUUGUAAACAGUUCAUUGAAC